GUGGGCUUACUCUCGAAAUCAAUCUCAAUCUCAAUUUAGUCUCAAUGCAAUUCCAAUCACAAUUUUGUUUGUUACUCUUGAAGUCAUUACUAUUGCGAUUGUAUUGGCAUUGGGAUUGUCUCGUAAUUGUCGAUUCCACUGUACGUCAACAUGACAUCAACCUGUCAGCCACGGAAAUAGAACAAAUGAAUGAACGAAAACUUUAAUAAAAAUUAUAAAAUUUAAGUAAUUUUAAAGAAAAUUAUUUAUAUUCAGAGGUACUUUUAUCAAAAAUGCUUAUUUCUUACUAAUAACAUAUUUUUUAGACAAGAAUGAUCAAAUUAAAUUUUUGAAUCGGCUUAUUUGGCUGUAUGAGUUUAUUCCUGUGUCUCAACAUGUGUAGAGUUUACAAAAAAAAGUCAUAACAUAAAACAACCAGCCGACGGCCGGUUACACUUACUUAUUAAACCUAUACAAAAAGAAAUAAAUCAAUCAGCUGAAGCUGAAAAUCCAUAUUGUGUUUUAAGUGCUCGGCGCUCUUAAGUUUGUGGGACGAAGUUACCAAAAAUGAAGUUUAAAGUUGCUACAAUAUUCACGGCACAACAACGUUGUUUCUUCUUUGUUUACACUCCGAAAUUAAGUAUUGGGCAGAAAAGAAGUCUGCCUUGAAGAAGCUGUGCAACGGGCUCAGUCCAUGAGGCGCACUGGCGGUAGCUUAGAUAUGGUGCUAGGGCUGUCACUACUUUUUAUUUAUUUGUGGCAGUCAGUGGCAGUCAUGGGUGGUGGGUGACUCUCUUGCCACAGGUACCAGGGGAAUAGCUGUAGACCCCUUUCCACAAAGUAAUUCUCGCCCUUCUAAAUUAAUAGACCUGCCAUCCACAUCACAGGCUGCCACUGAAACCCUGGAAAUAGAGCAAGAAAUUCAUAUUCAUAAUCCACAGCCUCCUGUGGAGGCAGGGCUGCAGGUAGAACACAGCGAGCAGCA